AUGUGGGAGCGCUUACUUUUAGUGUUGUUCAUCCUCAUAGCAUGUUUCCGUCCAGUCAAGUAUGUGAACCACGCCAGGACAGGCAAUAGCACAGAUGCUGAGCACUUGGUUAGUGCUCGGAUGAGGAUGUCUUCAACUUGUCCACAAAGAAGAUUUUCAGUUUGUUUAGCAGCUCGUGAAAUACAUCUUUACAAAACACAUCAUGAAGUGCCAAGAGGGAGUGCAUGUGACCAUAGGCUGCUCCAUCUACAAGAAAACUUGUUAUCCAGAACACGUGCCGUGGGAGAAAGAAGAGAGAAUGCUGAGGAGCUGCUGAUGGCUAAGUGCAACCGUUUUUCGGCCUACGUGAACGUGAUCUCCAGGUUGUUAAUAUUUCUGCUGGUGGCCUUCAUCGCCUUUAUGUGCAGCAGAGGAACAUCUGUGCCUGCCUGCUCACUGAAUGCAAAGUAA
rnacentral:lncRNA from 1 species